rnacentral:misc_RNA from 1 species
GUAGAAAUCAUAAACGCCGAACUGGUACAUAGAAAUAUGCUUGGGGUCGUUUUUCUAGUGAUUCUAUUAGUAAUCGGCGUCUUUGGAAAUGUAGUGGUUAUAAUUUUGUACAGUGCAAAGUUUAAGCGAGGAACCAACUACCGAUUCUACGUCCUAUUCCUGGCAGUCUUGGACACCGGUAACUGUGUCCUUGGGAUACCUUGGGUUAUUGUGUAUCUGUUACAUCCGGUAACGUUUCCGUCUGAUAUUCUCUGUCGUGGGGGCCUGUUUGUGACAUUCACCUUAGGUAUGACCGGAUCUUGUAGUCUGAGCCUCAUCGCUUUUGACAGAUACCGCAAGAUAUGUUGUCCAUUAAAGAAACAACUUAACCAUAAAAAUGCUAAAUACAGCGCUUUUGCAAUCGUGGCGGCUGUUCUCCUUGCGUCGUGGUGUGUUCCGUUUUUGUAUGAAAACAACCAAUUGCAUUUGUCCUCUAGCAACGAAACAGGUUACAAAUGCUACUUAGCAACGAAUUCCAUCGCCAAUAGAAUUGCAAAAGGUUACUACUUCAUCCUUGGUUCAGCUUUUAUCAUGGUCAGCAUAUUUUUAACAGUUUCGUAUUACUUCAUAAUGAAAAAAGUGAGGUUUCACUCUAAAAGUUUCCAGUUGCCGAAAACAUCUCACAGCAGUUGUAUCGGUCGGCGGAACUCAAAUAUACACACGAGGAAAACGACCAUCACUUUUUUCAUAAUUACAACGGUUUUUAUUUUGACAACCUUGCCUCAUAUCAUCACCGGUCUUGUGUUUCAUUUUGACGAGGAUCUCGAGUGUACAAUGAACUCUACGGCUCAUAGCCUAUUCAAUUUCUUUUAUUGGACCGUAUAUAUUAACAAUGUUGCAAACCCUUUCAUCUACGGACUGUCUGAUGAGCGGUUCCGUGGAAUUCUAUGGAGAAUGUUUACCUUUAUUUUUCUUUCGCCAUUUAAGACUGUAAAGAAAAGCUUGCCGUCUGCAGCGUCGUCUUCCGAUUCCGUGGAUGAGAAAAAUGCAGUCUCUAUAAGCGUGGUGUCUGAAAACUAUGCAAGCAAGGAGACAAUAAGCGCUGUUUCUGGAAACAGUGAAAAAAAGAGUACAGAAACUGAUAUUGGCCAGACUUAAAAUAAGAAAAUAGACCUACAACAAAACAGAUAUAGAAAUGAUGCAUGGCGUCGUUUGCGUCGAGAGUGGAGUGAUCGAUAAAAGAAUAUUAUUGACAUUCGUAUUGUGCCAAACUAAUGUGUAUCCAUGCAAUUGAAUUUUUUAUUUAAUAAAACACUAGAAAUGGACUUUAAAUUGAUGUGUUUUUAAUGUUCAUAACCUUUUGACUGCCUUCAAUAAAAAUCUUAAUUGCUAUUGGGAAAUAUACAAUACAGCAAGAAAUGGACUUUAAAUUGUUUUGCAUUUUUAAUGUUCAUAACAACAACAAUGUUUCAACAACUUUUCGCUAGAAAUCUUAAUUGCUAUUGGGAAAUAUGUAUUACAGCAAACAUUGCUGUCAAGUAUUCUAUGUUCAUUGUUUUAGUAAAACUAUAUAUCUCUUUUAAGGAAUAGUUUUGCAAUAGAUAGCAAUGACCUUUCAUGGCAUGUAUAUAUACCUGAAAAGAAAUGUCGUUUUCCUCACGUAGAACCUAUAUACUAGUAAAUUACCAACUGAGACUGGGGCAAAAUAUCAUUGGCAUCCAGUUUUAUGUUUGUUGAAAAUAUCAAGUCUGUACAUGCCUUCAUUUAUUUAUUUUUUUUUAAAAUGGGAAAUUUUGAAUGAAAUUGGUGCUGUAUGUUUUGUCAAUUAAAUGCAACCUAUUUUAG